UUGUCACUCCAAGGGCUCAACCAGCUUCAAACUGAACCUUCAUCUGCCCAACUUGCAGGGGUGGAAACAGAGGUUCAGAGAAGGGACACUACUGGCCCAAGGUCACACAGAGAUACAUCUAUCUCUCCUAUUGAUUAUGUUUCUCUGGACAGCCCUAACUGAUACCAAGAUGAGAACAUAGAAAAGGAGUCAUUUUUCCAUUCAGGACUCUGCUUCAAAGACAUGCUCUUGAGCUGAAGAGACCUGGCUUGAAAUGCUGCCUUUAGUGACCCUAUCUGUGUUCUUGACCGAUUAAGUUGAACUUGAUGAAUGUCUGCUUACUUCUCUGUAUUAACGAGAGGAGUCACAGGAAAGACCAUUUGCAUUACUGAUGCACAUUGAGCAUGACCACAGUUCAGCAAGUACCAUUUACUGUUAUUAAUAAUAUUUAUUUUUCAUUUUAUGCUAAGAAAACUAUCGAAAACAAUUUAAGGGUUUUGAGCAGUGAAGUGAUAUAAUCUUAUCUGUUUUUUAAAAAAGAAUUCUUACUGCUAUAUGGGGAAUGCCUAAGUGGGAGGCAAGAGUGGAUGCAAGGAGAGCAAUGAAGGAGGUCGUUGCACUAACACAGAGGAGUGAUUUGGACUAGGAUGGUGGUGGAAGAGAUAAAGAGAAGUGGAAGUGUUUGAGAACAUUUAAGGAGUAACAAUUUUAUUGAUUUGACUUCUGCUUAGGGGUAUGAAAGAGUAGCUUUUGGCAGACAAACUCUCCUAUAGAGAACAACAAGAAAAGCCCGAUGAAACAUGACAAAAGGAUCAGUUUAAAGGCACUGGAGACCUAUUAAAAUGAUGAAUACUUGAGGGGCCAACAUGCAGGAAAGAAGAGAACCAUGAGAGGGUGAGGUGGCGCUACAGACACUUCCAGGUGCAGGGAAGGAGGCUGAGAAUUGAGGCUUUACCUAGAUGGCCACGGCUGGGGGUCAAACACCCAGCAGAGAUUUCCACAGUCUCACAGGGCUGGAGAGACAAACUUCGUGGUCUAAGGAGCCAAGAUUCCAAUGAGAAGUGAGAGAUGGAAGACUGUGUCUGUCACACUGUUGGCUUGCUACACAAGACCAAUAUUGAAUUAUGAAGCUGUAUGUAGUAAGAAGCUAAGGAGCCAAGAAGAAAGCCUUUUGAAAAUAGGACAAGCAAAAUAAAUAAAAGCAUUCAUAUCAGAAAGGAAGAAGUACAACUGUCUUUAUUUGCAGGUAACAUUUUCUGUGUAGGAAAUCUGAUAGAAUCUACCCAAAAGAUCUAUUAGAACUAAUAAGGGAGUUUAGAGUUUAGCAAGGUUGUAGGAUACAGGGAAGCAGAGGUUACAAAGGGGAAUUAGGAACUUUCUGGGAAUGAUGAAUACACUCGCUAAUCUUGACUGUGGUGAUGGGUUCACAGGUGUAUGCCUAUACCAACAUUUAUCAAAUGUUACACUUUAAAUAUAUGUGUGUGAAUUGUGUCUGAGUAAAGCUCUUCAAACAAAAAGAAACUAGGAGGGAAAGAAGAGGGCUGAUAGGUUGGAAGAAACAGAGGAGUCAACAUCUGAAGGCCCCAAAGAGGUUGAAAAAGGAUCACAGUAGGGAGUCUGUGUCAGAAAGUGACAUACUUGAGUCAUUGAUUCUCAAGAUGGGACAAUUUUAGGAGAUGACAAAGCCUGGGGUGUGACUGACUGGGGGCAGGUAGCUUAGGUAGAGGAAGCUUCAAGGCCUGCUGCAUAUUCUGUCUCUGUUGCCUGAGCAUGGUUCCACCCCCACCUCUACUCUUUGCCUGGCUAAAUCCUACUUAUCCUCCAUGUCCCAGCAUUCAUGUCCCUUCAUCAAGGAUACUUCCUCUGGCACCCGCACCCUCUUCUGAGGUCACUCUUUAAGACAUUCUUAUAGCACUCUUGUACUACUUGCCUUCCUUAGCACUUAACCCAGUGAUCACAUAUGCAUUUGUGCAAUUCUUUCAACACAUCAAAGCUCUGUGACAGCAGGAACCCUGGACCAUUGUGUCCCUAGCAUCUGCCACAAGGCACAGCAGGGCAUAGUUGCUGAGUAUUGAAUGUAUAACAGGAUGGCAAAUGAAAUGUUGCCUAUUUUCACAGAACUUUAGCCCAAAUCUGAGGACAAGAGGUGCUAAGUCCCUGUACGAUCUACAUUCUCAAUGGAAACAUCACACAUUGUUUGUUAUAUAAAUGAACCAAAGAUGGCCUCUGUGUAUUGGCCCCUAUGUUUUUUAUUUCUUCACUGAAGGCUGAGACCUGUUAGCUGAAAAGCUCACUGGUGCCCAACUCAUAUAUUUACACGUCUGAUUAUUAUGAUUAUUAUUUGAGACGAAGUCUCACUCUGUCGCCCAAGCUGGAGUGCAGUGGCACGGUCUCGGCUCACUUCAACCUCCACCUCCUGGGCUCAAGCGAUUCUACUGCCUCAUUCUCCCAAGUUGCUGGGAUUACAGGCACACACCACCACGCCCAGCUAAUUUUUUGUAUUUUAGUAGAGACAGGGUUUCACCACAUUGCCCUGGGUGGUCUUGAACUCCCGAGCUCAGGCAAUCUGCCCACCUCGGCCUCCCAGAAUGCUGGGAUUACAGGCAUGAGCCACCGCACCCAGCCUGAUUAUUUUUAAAACAUCCCAAAUAAGCAGUUUUUUAGCCAUUUAAAGCCUGCUUGCUUUGCAUAUGCAGAGACUCUCCAACGUGGUACCGAUUGACCUCACCCAGACACAUAAGCUCCCUCUUUGUUCCUCCUCUGCCCUGUGAGUCCCUUUGCCUUCCUUCCCUUCCAGGUGGUGGCCUCUUAGCCCAUCCAUAAACCUCUGGAUAGUCUUGUGCUGUGAGGACUUUCCCUCUUAUGCAACCCUGUCCAAGUGCCACCGAAUAAAGCUUGUUGUGUUACUGCCCCUUGCAGUCAUAUCUUUUUCCUUGAUCAGCCCUCAAAUUCCUUCAACAAACUCCCUGAGUUUACUAAAUGAUGGCAAAGCCCAUUCAGCAAACACCAUUCCAUCGAGGCUAUUGAAGAGAUUAAACAUGUCAGAGGUUAUUUUUAAAGGAAAUUUUUAGGAGCAAAGAGUGCUUUGGCUUUUCUCCUACCCUCCCCAGGAGGGAGGAUAAGGAGGCGCUGUCUCUAAAACCAAAUCAAAUGCAUCAGUUCAGGUCCUCCAGGAAGUCAAGAUGGAGUUAGAAGUGCAAAAAAAUUAUCACAGAAGAUAAAGGGGAGAGGACACAGAAAGAGGCAGGAAGAACCUUCAGACCACAGGGCGGGUCUAACACAAGUGGAAAGAGAGGGAGAAGGAAGGAUUGGAAGGAAGAGUCUCAGACAGUGGUGCAGCUUUCAAAAAGUCUUGGCCAGCCCAACGGGGAGCUCUGAUGCAAAGAUGGCCCAUAGAGGAGUCCCACACUGAGCAAAAAUGACCCUAGUACCCUGCUGUGCUAAGCCUCUGAUAGGGAGCUGCCUGGAACUAGCAUGGUCUCACCUCAAAUGCUGCCUUGGACCCUGAAGACAUUCCACCUGAAUGCUGUCAACUAAUUGCACUCCUCAUAACAGGCCCUCUCUUAAAGUGACAUCCAAGCAGUGCACUUCCAUAGCUGCCACAGGCCAUCCUUUGUGCCACACAGAUCCACUACUCCAUAGCUGCUCGGGAAGCAGUUCCUCCUUGGCUCCUGUGGGCCACUCUUUCUGAAGGUAAACUU
rnacentral:lncRNA from 1 species